GGUGGAUUACCCAAGCGGCCAAAGGGAUCUGACUGUAAAUCAGCUGGCUUCGCCUUCGGGGGUUCGAAUCCCUCAUCCACCA
rnacentral:tRNA from 1 species